rnacentral:rRNA from 1 species
GACGAACGCUGGCGGCGUGCUUAACACAUGCCAGUCGAACGAUGAAGAGGAGAAACGCGAACUUCGGUUCAAAUUUCACUUCGGAUUAGUGGCAGACGGGUGAGUAACGCGUGAGCAACCUACCUCUUACAAAGGGAUAGCCUCGGGAAACCGUGAUUAAUACCAUAUGACACAUUCAUAAGGCAUCUUAAGAAUGUUAAAGCUACGGCGGUAAGAGAUGGGCUCGCGUCCCAUUAGCUAGUUGGUGAGGUAACGGCCCACCAAGGCGACGAUGGGUAACCGGCCUGAGAGGGUGAACGGUCACAUUGGAACUGAGACACGGUCCAAACUCCUACGGGAGGCAGCAGUGGGGAAUAUUGCACAAUGGAGGGAACUCUGAUGCAGCGACGCCGCGUGAGCGAUGAAGGAAUUCGUUUCGUAAAGCUCUGUUCUAUGGGAAGAAAAGGACUGUACCAUAGGAGAAAGCCCCGGCUAAAUACGUG